rnacentral:rRNA from 1 species
GACAGAGGGUGCAAACGUUGUUCGGAAUUACUGGGCGUAAAGCGUGCGCAGGCGGUGAUGUAAGACAGAUGUGAAAUCCCCGGGCUCAACCUGGGAACUGCAUUUGUGACUGCAUCGCUGGAGUGCGGCAGAGGGGGAUGGAAUUCCGCGUGUAGCAGUGAAAUGCGUAGAUAUGCGGAGGAACACCGAUGGCGAAGGCAAUCCCCUGGGCCUGCACUGACGCUCAUGCACGAAAGCGUGGGGAGCAAACAGG